UACGGAGGAUGCAAGCGUUAUCCGGAAUGAUUGGGCGUAAAGCGUCCGCAGGUGGCACUGUAAGUCUGCUGUCAAAGCGUCUGGCUCAACCAGAUAAAGGCAGUGGAAACUACAUAGCUAGAGUAAGGUAGGGGUAGAGGGAAUUCCUGGUGUAGCGGUGAAAUGCGUAGAGAUCAGGAAGAACACCGGUGGCGAAAGCGCUCUGCUGGACCUUAACUGACACUGAGGGACGAAAGCUAGGGGAGCGAAUGGG
rnacentral:rRNA from 1 species